rnacentral:piRNA from 1 species
UGAACGGGUAAUGUCCCAUGGCCUUGGAUUA